rnacentral:misc_RNA from 1 species
GGGGUGACACGAUCUUAAUUAAGGUUUGAAUUCUUUUUCACUUACGUGUUUGAAUUAUUGUUCUUAGUAGUUGUUGCUGGUUUUUGGAUAUUGAUUACGUGUCUUUCUGCUGUGGUUUAUGUUCGAUUAGGAUUGUGAUUGAGAUUUGUGAUUUAUAUCUACAAUUAUUGAAGAUUUGGGGUUUUGGGUAGCUGGGUUGUUAUCUGAUAUGGGUUCUUGGGGUUUAAAGAUUUGUGAGCUGGGUUUGCUUCAUAUUUUUAGUUGUAUGUACUUAUUAAGAUUUUGACGGAGCCCUGUUUUUAUUUGAUUUGAGUGUUUAGUUGUUUCCCAAUUUGCAUUAGGGAUAGAAUUUGUUGGUCUGUUGGUGUGAUAAAUAAACCAUGGCAUUUGAAAAGAGGCUGUAUAUGUGACUUUGAAAAGGAAUUGGCUUCUGCAGGGGCCUUCGUAUUGUUAAGCGU